AAUAUUGUAAUUUAUUUGAUUAGGUUUAUAUUAAGGUUGUUGAUUUAUCAACUAUGACGAUAAACGAAUCUCGUAAUAAACAUUGCGGACGUGGGGGCAGUACCCACCACCUCCACCAAUUAAAACUUGAGGGGGUGAAUUAGGCUCGACGAGUGUCUAAAAGUUUUUCUUUCGUCCGAGAUAGUUCCGACGUAACGGACUAAUUAUAAAUGCAAAUAAUAAAUUUGCACUUGCUGCUUAAUUAACUUGUUAAUUAAGUGAACGGGGUAUGGGGCACCUGGCAACAGAACGCCCCUACC
rnacentral:tmRNA from 1 species